rnacentral:rRNA from 1 species
ACGGAGGGGGCUAGCGUUGUUCGGAAUUACUGGGCGUAAAGCGUACGUAGGCGGCUUUGUAAGUUAGAGGUGAAAGCCUGAUGCUCAACAUCAGAAUUGCCUUUAAGACUGCAUCGCUUGAACGUCGGAGAGGUGAGUGGAAUUCCGAGUGUAGAGGUGAAAUUCGUAGAUAUUCGGAAGAACACCAGUGGCGAAGGCGGCUCACUGGACGACUGUUGACGCUGAGGUACGAAAGCGUGGGGAGCAAACAGG